AACGAACGCUGGCGGCAUGCCUAACACAUGCAAGUCGAACGAGACCUUCGGGUCUAGUGGCGCACGGGUGCGUAACGCGUGGGAACCUGCCCUUAGGUUCGGAAUAACUCUCCGAAAGGGGUGCUAAUACCGGAUAAUGUCCUCGGACCAAAGAUUUAUCGCCUUUGGAUGGGCCCGCGUUGGAUUAGCUAGUUGGUAGGGUAAAAGCCUACCAAGGCGACGAUCCAUAGCUGGUCUGAGAGGAUGAUCAGCCACACUGGGACUGAGACACGGCCCAGACUCCUACGGGAGGCAGCAGUGGGGAAUAUUGGACAAUGGGCGAAAGCCUGAUCCAGCAAUGCCGCGUGAGUGAUGAAGGCCUUAGGGUUGUAAAGCUCUUUUACCCGGGAUGAUAAUGACAGUACCGGGAGAAUAAGCUCCGGCUAACUCCGUG
rnacentral:rRNA from 1 species